AUUGAACGCUGGCGGCAUGCCUUACACAUGCAAGUCGAACGGUAACGGGCCUUCGGGUGCCGACGAGUGGCGAACGGGUGAGUAAUGCAUCGGAACGUACCUUUCAGUGGGGGAUAACGUAGCGAAAGUUACGCUAAUACCGCAUAUACUGUGAGCAGGAAAGCAGGGGAUCGCAAGACCUUGCGUUCGAGGAGCGGCCGAUGUCGGAUUAGCUAGUUGGUGGGGUAAAGGCCUACCAAGGCGACGAUCCGUAGCGGGUCUGAGAGGAUGAUCCGCCACACUGGGACUGAGACACGGCCCAGACUCCUACGGGAGGCAGCAGUGGGGAAUUUUGGACAAUGGGCGGAAGCCUGAUCCAGCCAUGCCGCGUGAGUGAAGAAGGCCUUCGGGUUGUAAAGCUCUUUCGGUGGGGAAGAAAUUGCACGGGCGAAUAACCUGUGUAGAUGACGGUACCCGGAGAAGAAGCACCGGCUAACUACGUG
rnacentral:rRNA from 1 species